AACCCUUGUCCUUAGUUACCAGCACGUUAUGUGGGCGACUCUAAGGAGACUGCCGGUGACAAACCGGAGGAAGGUGGGGGAUGACGUCAAGUCAUCAUGGCCCUUACGGCCUGGGCUACACACGUGCUACAAUGGUCGGUACAAAGGGUUGCCAAGCCGCGAGGUGGAGCUAAUCCCAUAAAACCGAUCGUAGUCCGGAUCGCAGUCUGCAACUCGACUGCGUGAAGUCGGAAUCGCUAGUAAUCGUGAAUCAGAAUGUCACGGUGAAUACGUUCCCGGGCCUU
rnacentral:rRNA from 1 species